rnacentral:rRNA from 1 species
UACAGAGGGUGCGAGCGUUGUCCGGAAUUACUGGGCGUAAAGCGCGCGCAGGUGGUUUCUUAAGUCUGAUGUGAAAGCCCACGGCUCAACCGUGGAGGGUCAUUGGAAACUGGGGAACUUGAGUGCAGAAGAGGAAAGUGGAAUUCCAAGUGUAGCGGUGAAAUGCGUAGAGAUUUGGAGGAACACCAGUGGCGAAGGCGACUUUCUGGUCUGUAACUGACACUGAGGCGCGAAAGCGUGGGGAGCGAACGAGG